GCCGGGUGUGGUGGCACACACCUGUAAUCCCAGCAGCUCGGGAGGCUGAGGCAGGAAGAUUGCAAGUUCAAAGCCAGCCUCAG
rnacentral:sRNA from 1 species